UGGGGAAUUUUGCACAAUGGGGGAAACCCUGAUGCAGCGACGCCGCGUGAUUUAGAAGGCCUUCGGGUUGUAAAAAUCUUUUCUAUGGGAAGAAAAUGACAGUACCAUAGGAAUAAGGACCGGCUAAUUACGUGCCAGCAGCCGCGGUAAUACGUAAGGUCCGAGCGUUGUCCGGAAUCAUUGGGCGUAAAGGGUACGUAGGCGGGUAAGCAAGUUAGAAGUGAAAUCCUGUAGCUCAACUACAGUAAGCUUUUAAAACUGCUCAUCUUGAGAUAUGGAAGGGAAAGUGGAAUUCCUAGUGUAGCGGUGAAAUGCGCAGAUAUUAGGAGGAAUACCGGUGGCGAAGGCGACUUUCUGGCCAUAAUCUGACGCUGAGGUACGAAAGCGUGGGAAGCAAACAGG
rnacentral:rRNA from 1 species